CUUUUUCACUCUUUUUGUUCUCUUUGUCCCUCUUUCUUUCACACACUUUACUUUCUCAGACACACACACAGCUCACUAUGUGGACAAAGCCUUCAUUCAGUGGAGGUUUUGGUCAAGCGGCUCGGCCUGCUGGUCCGUUUUCUCACCGUUUCUCAAGGUUGACAAGUCAGUCAAACCCAUUUUUGGACACGGAAAGGCCAAAACAACCUCGCGGGUAAAGACGGCUAAGAAAUAAAACAUUCAGAUUUAGAUUUGUUGACUGGCUGGUUGCAUUUCCUGCCUGUGUGAGUCUCUGUGACGAAAGUUGGGAGAACAAUACAGGACGUUUACUGCCAGACUGUGAUGCAAUCUAUGUGUAAGUAUGUGUGUGCGCAUACAGCCUCUUAAUAUGAUGCAACGGUGAAUUGAAUGCGUACGUAACUGUGUGUCUAUAGGCUGUGUCUGUGUAUACAUACAGCUUGUGUGUGUGUGUGU